rnacentral:lncRNA from 1 species
AUAAAUUUAUGUUCCGCAUUGGAAGUACUAUGCUCAGAUGAACCUGCUGCUAAAUAGAUGCAUUCGUAUAAUCUUCAUACUUCUGCCGAUUAUAAGUGAGUUCUACUUUCCUUCUUCUUGAUGCUUUCAAAUGAAAUGGAAUAUUGCAGUGAUGUGCUUGCUUUCAUUUGUAUAAUAUAGGUUUUGCCCAAAAAGCAAUAGUAGAGUUAUUGUCUACAUAAAUACGGUAGGUUUCGAUCUGUUGUGACAUGUAUGUAGCAUCUCCAACAAUUUCUGAACUCAAAUUGCACUAUGAAUGAGGCUAAUGUGACAUUAUUAUCUUCGAAAGUAGAAACAGUUGCAGAGGUUUCUUUUUUGAACACAAAGUAAAUGUCGCGUCUUCCUUAAGAAAUACAAAACCAGUAGUACUCAUUUGAUUCACCCCAUUCAGUGUUGCCAUUUGCCAACAAGUUCGAAAUUUUCAGAUGGAGAAAAUCAAUAGUCUAUAAUUAAAUUAAUCACCUUUGACAUAUAUAUCGAUGAGUUGAGUACUUUCUUCCAUCAAUCAUCCAAGUUCUUAUGUACUCUUAAGUAAGUGUAAUCCUGCAAAAGACUUAAAAGACCUAUAUAAUGGCUUUGAACAAUCAAACUAGUACACUACGAUACAUAAAGUCCAACUCUCCCUAAAGAUAUGGCGGAGGGAAAGUGGUAAAAAAGAGAAGGUUAGAAGGAAGAACACAUAUGUAGAGUUGAUAUUUCCUCUUGUUGCUUGAUUUGCUCCAAUGAACCGAGAAUGUAAAGUACUAAUUAAAUUUAUCAACUUCAUUUGUUAAACUUCCGUCUUAGCUUGGGACUCCAUCAAAAGACGAAAUCUUGCAAAGUCGUCAUAACUCAUUGUGGCCAUAGAAAAUAUAUGACUUACUUGAUCAAAGUCUUGAUAUAAAUGAGUUUGAAUUCUAUCUUCUUGAUGCAUCUUCGAAUGAAAUAGGACCUUGGCUCGAUUUGGUUACUUCAUUCAUGGAAUAAUAGCUUUCCUCCCGAAGAAAUAACAUAGUUCUCAUUUCUCGUGUCUAAGGAUGUUCAUGGUUCGGUCUGAUUCAGUUUCCAUAAAUAUGAACUCAAAUCAACCAUGUUAGUUUUUUAUUUGGUUUGGUUUUCACAUCUUUUUCGGUUUUGUCGUUUGUUUUUCACAUGCAUUUCUUAGUGAUUCCUUUGUCCAGAUAGAUCUAAUUGACUAAUCAAAAUUUGGGGACUUGGUUUUGAUUGAACAAAUAUAGCAUUAAGAACUUUAACUUUCAUUUUUGUCUUGGUGGAUUUAGAUUGUUUGUUUUGGUAAUUGAAGUCUGCUUUGGCUGUUUAAUGGAUGGUGUUAACAGUUGAUAGUGGUAAAUGGAGAAGGGGAACUAAGAACCCGAAAAAAUAUAUGAACCAACUAAAUCUUGCCCUCAUACUUUAAUGCCUUAGUAAAUAUGUCAGUGAAGUGAAGUGAUCAUAGUCUUGAUACAAGUGAAUUCUACUUCUUUCUUCUUGAUGCUUCCAGAUUACGUAGAAUAUUGUAUCGAUGCCAUACUCUUGUUGUGUCUUCCAUGAAAUAGUAGCCAGUGGUACUCUUGCGAUCAUAUACUGUGGCUUGACUUGCUAUUCUGCUUUAAAGUUUUCUUGUAUGUAACUUGUAUAAACUUCUUGAGAUGAAUGCCAUCAACAUAUUGCUUCGCUCCAAUGCUAAGAUAUUAGAAGAUAUGUGAUAACUGUUAUUUUCAUGCCAUCACUUUCUUGAAUUCACUAAAUGUUUUUUAAUAACGGUGAUGUCAGGGCCAGGUAGUUUGCGCACACCUCGUUCAUUUCAUCGGAUACCUGAUACCUCUACAACAUAUGUACCAGCCCAUCGGGUAACUUUGUCCGCCAAGGCUUAACAAAUGAGAACAAAACACCUUGCCUCCUCUGAGGUAUGAACUUGAGAUCUCGUAGUUCUCCUCUCACUUUAUUGACCACUAUUAAUAGGCACAUCCUUGGGUGAAAUUCAUUUGAACAUAUAUAUUUAAACUUUGAUAGUUGUGGUUGUCGUCUACAUGGUAUGUGACACCACACAAUGUUGACUAAUGUUGAGCCAGGAGAUAUAUAUUCCCUUGGAUCAUUAUAGCACUCGUUGAACAAUUGAGUAGAAAUGGAUAGGUUAUAAGAAGUAGAAAACCCAUAUCAAUCUAUCUCUAUAGGAGACAACAUGAGCAAAGGAUGGGAACGGUUAAAUCCUUUGGAAAAGAAUUCACCCCCUCAUCAAUUAUAUAUUAUGAAAUGAAGGAAAUACCUCCAUUUCCAUCUUCCUUAUCAAAAAGUGUUCUUAUGUGUAUAAAUGGUAAAAGUUGAAAUCCAUGGUCUUGAAGAUGCUUUAAUUCCUAUAAGGCUUCUUUCAGUUUUAAAACUUAUUCUUUAUGCUCUUUGGUUAUGUAGCACACAUGUUGUUGAGUAUAAACAUCGGCUUCGUCAAGUUAACAAAAGCCAUAUUACUAGAUAUUGUGUGUUUCUUUAAAGGGAAGAAGAAAGAAUCAGUGAUAAGAAUAUAAGAGAGUUUUAAUUUUAGUCCUGUUAUUGGCAUAAAGGUUCUCAUGGAGAAAUCUCUGAUUAUGGUUACACAAGGUCGGAUUUUAAUGCAUCAAUCGAUACAAGAAAUCGGUUGGUAUAUUAUUCGACAAGAUGCUUCGGAUGAUUCAAGAAGAUAUAGUAGGUUGUGGAUGCCUGGGAAUAUUUCUCAUGUACUUGGAGGAGAUUUGAUAAGUGUUUGCACAAACUAUGUUGCUCGGACUCUUUAAAAAUGGCGGUGGGUGCAUGUUGGAUCCUCCAAAAGUAGUGCAUUUUCGUAGGAUCCAAUACGUGUGCGGCAUCAACUUUGGAGAGUCCGAGCAACAUAGUGCACAAAUGAUGAUUUCUAAUUAGUUAUUAGUUCAAGCAGCAGCUGAUGUAUGAUGUAACUUUAUAACUUCUUUCUCCAAUUUUCCUUUUUGCCUGAUUGUUCUUUCUUAAUAAUCAGGGCACUGAAAAGAUCGAAGGCAUGUGACUGAACUUGGAUUCUGCACAAGAAGUGAAUGUCAGCAGUGCAGUUUCUCAGUAUCCAAAAUACAAAUGUUCGUCAGGGUCCUGAUUUUCUUCAUGGUGAGUUGAGUUGGAUGUCCAUCAAGAAGUCUGUCUGUUAGUUUUCGGGGGAGAAAAGCUUGUUGGUUUGAAGUUGAAAGAUAGCCGAAUUACACAACUUUGGCAAGGCUCCAACGUUUAUAUAUAGUCGGAGUACUAAUUAUCUGGCUGUUUUGCUUUCUUGCUGUUUGAUUUGUUUCAGUAUGACAGGUUCUAGUAAGGUUGAUUUGUUUCAUCAACCUAGCCAAUCACAGAAGCUAGUAAGGACCCCGGAUUUUUCAGGUACCAGUAAUCUUGAAAGUGUUAAGGUUUUGAUUCUAUCAGCCUGCUUAAAACUCGAAAAGUUCCUGAAAAAAUAGAAGAAGAAAUGAAUCGCUUUUCAAAAGUGUACUUGGAUGGAGCUUCUUUGGGAGAGGUACGCGCAUCACUUGAGAACCUUCCAGGGGUUAGCUUGAAUAUUUGAUAAAUCUUAGUUACUGCAAGCAUCUUGAGAAUCUCCCAAGCAGUAUUUUUAGAUUGAAGUGUCUUAAGAACACUUGCUCUAUUCGGGUGCUCAAGACUCGAAAAAAUAUCAGAUGAUGUGGGACUUUUAACGGGCUUAGAGGAGCUCCGCUGUGAUGGCACAGCCAUCCGAACACUUGUCUUUUCGUGGAUGUAAUGCUUUGGGUUUACAAGUAAACAGCUCAUUCUUCUCCUUUUGGCUUCCAGGAAAAGGUCAAAACUCCACGGGUCUAAUUUAUCGAGUCUUUGUUCAUUGACAAUGCUUGAUACUAGUCACUGCAAUAUCUCAGACAGAGGCUGGAGGCACCCUAUGUAAUCUUGUGUACUUAUCAUCUUUGUGGUAACAGCUUUACCAAUAUUCCAGCUGCAAGCAUCAGUGAUCUAACUGAGCUACUUGCGCCGAGUUCACCUUGGACGUGGUUGAUACAAUUAUGGAAUAACAUGCUCAAGGUAACUGCAGAAUGACAGGCAAAUUACAUUCCUUUAAUGGAGAUAUAUCUGUGGAUUCAGACUAACUGAGCUGUGUUUUAAAGUCAGCAGCAGAUCCACAAAGCAGGAAUUUGAGUUAGACGAUAGGAUUCAGUCUGGUUCUCUUGCCAGGAUAGGCCUUGGGACGGAGCUAGCAUGGAAAGUACGGGCCAGAAUUCAGUUACUUCGGAGCAAAUCCUGUAUAUAUUUGUUCAUUGAAUAUCUAUAUCUUUAAAUUUUGGAUUCACCUCUAAUCGUAAGUGAAUGUAUGAUCCAGAAGAAAACAUGUCAAGUUCUUCAAUGUGCAGAGAGAUUGUUGUUUGUCAAAUUACACCUCUUAUUCAACUGGUUUAUCUUGUUCAAGAGUUCUUGGUAAGUAACUUUCUAUAAUCUAUUGUUGUUGUAUUCAAAUGUACCUUGUCAUAUAAAUUCAUCCUCAAGUUUUAUUUUUUUGCUUGUUUCCUAUUUUCUUUUCAUUGAAUGGACUAUUUUUAUUAG